rnacentral:rRNA from 1 species
CCCUGCAGUAAGGGCGACUGAAAGGGGACCAGCCCAGCGCAUAACCUUGCGGUCAUGAUUUGGCUGUUGAGGGGUGUUGCGUUUCGGUGAAUCCGUACCGCCCGAAUUGCUGACCGUCUAAGUCAUUGCUUGAAUGCAGCCCCUAGGAGGGUGGUAGGCCCGUGUGGCGGCGCCUUUGAAAAGGUUUUGAAGGAAUUUGGGCGGAGGGAUUGUAACCGUAGAGUCGGGUUGCUUAGUAGUGCAGCCCUAAGUAGGUGGUAAACUCCAUCUAAGGCUAAAUAUGAGCACGAGUCCGAUAUUUGACAAGUACCGUGAGGGAAAGCUGAAAAGGACUCUGAAGAGAGAGUUCAAGAGGACGUGAAACCAUUAGAAGGUGAAACGGGUGGAACCUUGAAGGUGGAAAGAGGGGAUUCAGGCUGUUGGUGGCUGCAUAAGACAUUCAACUUUUGUUGAGAGAAUGGAGCCGGCUUAAGAGUGAUUGUGCCGGGCAGUUGGUGACUUGUGUGGCUGCCAGCGGGCUUAUUUCUGCCUCGAGUACUGGACGUGGCGACCCGCUGGUGGGACCCCGAGGUGGCCUGAGGACUGGUAGCCUAGACUCUUGAGUUUGGGUGAGGACCUGUUGGGUUAACCGAGUGGGUUUGAUCGGCGGUCACUAAGAGGAGGCGGUUGCGCUUGCGCGGCCACCUCUCGCCAUGUGAAAAGUAUGGGUAAUCCAGCCGACCCGUCUUGAACCACGGACCA